ensembl:snRNA U6 U6 spliceosomal RNA
GUGCUGGCUUCGGCAGCACACAUACAAAACCUGGAACGAUACAGAGAAGAUCAGCCUGGCCCCUGAGCAAGGAUGAGAUGACGUGCAAAUGUGUGAAGCGUUCCAUAUUUUU